rnacentral:rRNA from 1 species
AACGUAGGAGACAAACGUUAUCCGGAGUUACUGGGCGUAAAGGGCGUGUAGGUGGUUUCGUAAGUCUGGCGUGAAAUUUUUCGGCUUAACCGGGAAAGGUCGUCGGAUACUGCGGAACUAGAGGACGGUAGAGGCGUGUGGAAUUCCGGGUGUAGUGGUGAAAUGCGUAGAGAUCCGGAGGAACACCAGUGGCGAAGGCGACACGCUGGGCCGUACCUGACACUGAUGCGCGACAGCAUGGGGAGCAACAGG